GGGCUCACACAAGCGGUGGAGCAUGUGGCUUAAUUCGAGGCUACGCGAAGAACCUUAUCCUGGACUUGACAUGUGCGAAAGCGGAGGGAAGUAGGGCGCGGAAACGUGUCCCCAACGGUAUCCAGUCCGGAACCCUCUACAGGUGCUGCAUGGCUGUCGUCAGCUCGUGUCGUGAGAUGUUGGGUUAAGUCCCGUAACGAGCGAAACCCUUGUUUCCAGUUGCCAGCGGGUCAUGCCGGGGACUCUGGAAAGACUGCCGGUGUCAAACCGGAGGAAGGCGGGGAUGACGUCAAGUCCUCAUGGCCUUUAUGUCCAGGGCUGCACACGUGCUACAAUGCCGCGUACAAAGGGAUGCCAACCCGCGAGGGGGAGCCAAUCCCAAAAAACGCGGCCCAGUUCAGAUCGCAGGCUGCAACCCGCCUGCGUGAAGCCGGAAUCGCUAGUAAUCGCGGGUCAGCAACACCGCGGUGAAUGUGUUCCUGAGCCUU
rnacentral:rRNA from 1 species